rnacentral:lncRNA from 10 species
UCCAGAGGGUCUGAGAGCGAGGAGGAGCAGUGCCCGUGGAUGGCAGAGCAGACCUCGCCUGGGCCAGGUCUGGGCUCUGCUGCCACAACCCAGCCUUCCGCCAGCGGCAGCUCCAGAUAAAGAAUGCAGAGUAUGUGCUUCAGUGUCACAAACUGUGCCUGGCCACCAUCCAUCAUCCUGUCAAGACAUCACUCCAGACAGCCCGGCUUCAAGCAGAACCAGAUCCAGGAGCCAACUGAGGCCAGCACAGUUCUCUCCCCUGUGAAUGUGACAAUUGGCCUGGGUCCUGAUUCCCCACAUCCUGCUGCCUAACGUGAUGCACCCAUCAUCUCCAACCAAGAGACAGGGAUCAGAGAGUCAACAUGUCAGCAAACUACAACUCACCCGCAUGCAAGCCAGUUGUCCAAUGGGAAUUCUUCUGAUGGAGCGAUGGGGUGGACUGAGGUUUUAUACUUGCUUCCUCCAGUGAUGCAGAGCACUAUUUCCAAACCCAAGUAGUCCUCUGGCUCCCAAAAUGAGGGAGAAGAGAGGAGGAGAAGGAGGAGCUAAGCUGCACCCAUUGUCAGUGAGCACAGGUGCAGGAGAGAGGGGGUGCCAGACACAUCUCCACCUCCAUCCCUGGAUCUGUGAUUGACAGGUACUCGUAUAAUUCAUCAGGCCAAAGGGGACGAGGCAGGCAGAAUAACAGCCCCCUAAAGACACUCAUGUUCUAAUCCCUAGAACCUGUGAAUGUUAACCUUAUAUGGCAAGAAAAGGAUUUUAUAGAUGUGAUUAAGUUUAAGUUCUAAAAAUGGAGAGGUUAUCCCGGAUUAUCUGAGUGGGCCCCAUCUGCAAUCACGAGACCGAGGCAGAGGCAGAUCUGACCCCAGACAGAAGAGGAGAAUGCAGCAGCGCCCGCAGAGGCAGAGGCUGGAAUGGAGCAGCCCCAAGGCAAAGCAUGCUGGCCACCAUCAGAAGCCAGAGUACGUGAG